rnacentral:rRNA from 1 species
UACGGGGUGCAGCAGGCGCGAAAACUUUACAAUGCUGGCAACAGCGAUAAGGGAACCUCGAGUGCCAGGUUACAAAUCUGGCUGUCGAGAUGCCUAAAAAGCAUUUCAUAGCAAGGGCCGGGCAAGACCGGUGCCAGCCGCCGCGGUAACACCGGCGGCUCGAGUGGUAACCGUUAUUAUUGGGUCUAAAGGGUCUGUAGCCGGCCGGAUAAGUCUCUUGAGAAAUCUGGCAGCUUAACUGUCAGGCUUUCAGGAGAUACUGUCUGGCUCGAGGCCGGGAGAGGUGAGAGGUACUUCAGGGGUAGGGGUGAAAUCUUGUAAUCCUUGAAGGACCACCAGUGGCGAAGGCGUCUCACCAGAACGGACCUGACGGCAAGGGACGAAAGCUAGGGGCACGAACCGGAUUAGAUACCCGGGUAGUCCUAGCCGUAAACGAUACUCGCUAGGUGUCGGCCACGGUGCGACCGUUGUCGGUGCCGUAGGGACGCCGUGAAGCGAGCCACCUGGGAAGUACGGCCGCAAGGCUGAAACUUAAAGGAAUUGGCGGGGGAGCACCACAACGGGUGGAGCUUGCGGUUUAAUUGGAUUCAACGCCGGAAAUCUUA